AGGACGAACGCUGGCGGUGUGCUUCACACAUGCAAGUCGAACGGGGUAGCAAUACCCAGUGGCGGACGGGUGAGUAACGCGUAGAAAUCUGCCUUGAGAUGGGGGAUAACAGUCCGAAAGGAUUGCUAAUACCGCAUAUGUAUGUAUCCGGACACGGGUGUAUAUGAAAGGAGUAAUCCGUCUUAAGAUGAGUCUGCGUCCGAUUAGCUAGUUGGUAGGGUAAAGGCCUACCAAGGCGACGAUCGGUAGCUGGUCUGAGAGGAUGAUCAGCCACAAUGGGACUGAGACACGGCCCAUACUCCUACGGGAGGCAGCAGUGGGGGAAUUUUGUGCAAUGGGGGAAACCCUGACACAGCGACACCGCGUGAGCGAAGAAGCCCUUUGGGGUGUAAAGCUCUGUCGGCUGGAACGAAAAAAAUGACGGUACCAGCAAAGGAAGCAUCGGCUAACUACGUGCCAGCAGCCGC
rnacentral:rRNA from 1 species